ACGGAGGAUGCAAGCGUUAUCCGGAUUCAUUGGGUUUAAAGGGUGCGUAGGCGGCUUUUUAAGUCAGUGGUGAAAUCUUGCCGCUUAACGGUAAAAUUGCCAUUGAUACUGACAAGCUUGAGUACAAUUGAGGUAAGCGGAAUGUGUAGUGUAGCGGUGAAAUGCUUAGAUAUUACACAGAACACCGAUUGCGAAGGCAGCUUACUAAACUGUUACUGACGCUGAUGCACGAAAGCGUGGGGAGCGAACAGGAUUAGAUACCCUGGUAGUCCACGCCGUAAACGAUGAUCACUCGCUGUAUGCGAUACACAGUAUGCGGCCAAGCGAAAGCAUUAAGUGAUCCACCUGGGGAGUACGAUCGCAAGGUUG
rnacentral:rRNA from 1 species